GACAGAGGUUGCAAACGUUGUUCGGAAUUACUGGGCAUAAAGCGCACGUAGGCGGUUCGUUAAGUCAUGUGUGAAAUCCCUCGGCUCAACCGAGGAAUUGCGCCUGAUACUGGCGGGCUAGAGAUCGAUAGGGGUGAGUGGAACUCCAGGUGGAGCGGUGAAAUGCGCAGAUAUCUGGAGGAGCACCGGUGGCGAAAGCGGCUCACUGGAUCGAUACUGACGCUGAGGUGCGAAAGCUAGGGUAGCAAACGGG
rnacentral:rRNA from 1 species